rnacentral:rRNA from 1 species
CACGUAGGGUGCGAGCGUUGUCCGGAAUUAUUGGGCGUAAAGAGCUCGUAGGCGGUGUGUCGCGUCGGCCGUGAAAACCUGCAGCUUAACUGUGGGCUUGCGGUCGAUACGGGCAUCACUGGAGUUCGGCAGGGGAGACUGGAAUUCCUGGUGUAGCGGUGAAAUGCGCAGAUAUCAGGAGGAACACCGGUGGCGAAGGCGGGUCUCUGGGACGUUACUGACGCUGAGACGCGAAAGCGUGGGGAGCAAACAGG